rnacentral:misc_RNA from 1 species
AAAGAAAGAAAGAAGAAGAAGAAAAAUACUUGCCAUCCUGUCUAAUCAUUUUUAUAGCAUCUUAGAGAUAUUUAAGCUUCUUGGUUUGGUGGAAAAUUUCAAGAUGCAUUAUUUAUUGUUGAUUUUGGAAAAAAGGUUUGAGGAGGUCCAUUAUUUAGUAACUUCUCAAGGAUCAUACAUCCUGUACAAGUGGUAAUAACUUGGAAACAUGCAAGGGAACUUUGGAAAAGUGGAAGGAUUAAAAGAGAAGGGGCAAGCUUUUACUUGCUUUGUAAGAUCUAAUCUUUAGAACCUUAUGGUUUUGUGAUCCUUUGAAGGAUGCUUUGUAUAUUGUGGCUUCUUUUCUUUUACUGGUUUGGAGUCUUAAGGAUGGAUUUUUUUUUUCUUAAUACAAGCUGCAGUUUUUUUCCCUCUUCUGGAUAAAAGUAAAUAACUUAGGAAUGGGUUU